GUGAUGCUGAUCUUAUUAAGCAUAUAGUCAAAUAUGUUCUGCAGAUAAAGAAUUGCCCGUAGCGAAUCCAAGGCUUGAGGCGAGGAAUCUUGUGACUUGACUUAAUUUGCUAAAUUAUACUUAUUUCAUGAAUUCACAAAUCAUAACAUAACAUUGUGUCUCUGUCUGUCUCCCUCAUGAAUUCACAGACAGUAGAGAUAGGGCAAGGAACAGAGGAAUAGCCAAAGCAACAGGGAGCAAAAAUAGGAGCGUUCUUCAAGUUUUUGGCUCUUUAUCAACCAUAGCACCAAGAGAAAGAGAAUGAUGGCCAAGGAGCAAGCUGACUGAAGCUUAAGAGGGAGCUGCGUUCCACUCACCCAACUGUUCUUCGAGUUUCUUUGCUAGUUUAUUCAAUUUCUGUUAACACAACUACCACCCCAAGCAAAGAGAGGUGAGUGAUUUUCUCUCCUCUGUGUUUAAUUUGGUCGAAUGGCCUUGUGAAACGUAACCAAAAUUCUGGUUCUUGGAACGGUUAAGGUUUGGGCUCAAGAGAAAAACAAGGACAAGUCUUGUGUAUUUGAUCAACAAAGAGGUAAGGGUUAGAAUAGUUAGAUAUUGAUUUUAGCUGUAUUUGGUGAUUAAAUGGCAGAAACCUUUCCAUUGAGUAUGCUUAUUCUCAAAUAAGUUAGGCUACAUAAUGUAUUUAUUGACCAGUCAGCUGCUUGAUUCUUGGAUCGGUAUGUGAAUGAUUGUUGCUUUCUUAAUCAGCACAGUUUACUUUGUAGUGGUAAAUGGUAAUGUUCUAAUAAACAAAAAUCAAGUACUAAUGGGGACUAUUAUUCAUUUGUCUAGAGUAGUUUACUGAUUUCAUGUUAAUUAUUUUUGUU